AAUUUCAGGUAAUCGCGGUCAAUUAAUUUGGCUGAGGAAAGUCCAUGCUCGCACAAGCUGAAAUGCUUGUAGUGUUCGUGCUUAGCGAAACAAUAAGCUAAGGUAGCCUUAAGGUGAACGGCGAGUGAAAAUUCUAAGGCUUAGCUAAGAAUCAGUAACUUAUAAAGUGCCACAGUGACGAUCCUUUUUGGAAACAAAAAGCUGAAACGCGGUAAACCCCUCGAGCGAGCAACCCAAAUUUGGUAGGGGCACUCUCUAAAUGGAAAAAUGCUCAAGCAUUGGUCAACCAUAGGAGAGACAAGUUAUCUUGUAGAUAGAUGAUUACCCUUUAUUUAUUCUUGCCUAUGGAAUAAAUAUUGACAGAACAUGGCUUAUCGAA
rnacentral:RNase_P_RNA from 1 species